rnacentral:misc_RNA from 1 species
GGAGAGAGAGAGAGAGAGCAUGGAAGAGAAGAGAGGUAGCAUUGCCUUCUUCGCAACCUAUAAUCCACCGGUGCCUCUGGACAUAUUCUCAUGUCCUGUUCCACCCACGUCGAAGCAUGAUGAGCUACACAUGACUGAUGGGCUGUCCUACAAUUACAACUGCCGAGUCAUUCCACCACAAGCUCUCAAGACCAUCAUCAAGCGCCCAAAAUUGGCUUCUGAAGCCACAGAAGCUGAUGUUGAUUCUGGUCGCCUCUCAGGCUUGAUUUUUGUUUCCGAACGAGAUAAGAACCUCGAGACGCUUCACAUAGCUCUUCGCUUCACUGACAAAGUUAAAGUCUUCAGUUUCGCCGAUGUCUACGGCACUUUCAGGGAUGCUCGCAUGGAAGACAGUGGUUGCAUUGCCGGUGGUUAUAAGGUUGGUAAGCGAACUAUCGAUCAUUCUCUUGUCUAUGUCACCACCAAGGACCCGGCGAAAGAUCGUCGUCAACCGUGGACUGUCGUUUAUAAAACCAAUCUUAAGACCGGAAAAACUGAAUCCCUCACCCCAUCAGGGGUAAGUGAUUUAAGCCCAUCUGUGUCACCAUCUGGAAGAAAGGUAGCGGUGGCGUCAUUCCAGGGAAAGGGUUGGAAUGGCGAGAUUGAAGAUCUACAGACUGAUAUUUAUAUGAUGAAUGUAGAGAAGCCUCCCUUGGAGCGCAAGAGAGUUAUAAAAAAUGGUGGGUGGCCAACAUGGGGAAGUGACAACGUCAUAUUUUUCCAUCGAAAGGUUGGAGAAUUUUGGGGUGUGUUCCGAGCCGACAUUAGCAGUGGUGAAAUAGUCCGUGUGACCCCGGACGGAAUUGAUGCGAUAACUCCGGCAGCCAUCAACGCCACCAAAGUGGCAGUGGCAACUAUCCGUCAGAAAUCAAGGUUCAGCGAUGUUCGUGUAGAAGCACAGUAUCGGCAUAUUGAGAUUUUUGAUUUAACUGCACCAGAACAAUCCACGAAAAUCACUCAAAUAACCAGACCAAAGGCUGACCAUUUCAACCCCUUUGCCAUAGAUGGUGGGAAGUGCAUAGGUUACCAUCGAUGCAAGAGCGAACUUCUUAAGCAUGCAGAUGAUAUCCGAAGAAAUUUCUACAAGCUCCACUCUCCAUAUCCAGAUAUAGGACUGUUUAGGGUGUCGGGUGUAUUUCCAACAUUUUCCAAGGAUGGCUCCAAGCUUGCAUUCGUUGACAAUGAGUUCAAAGCCGUGUGGGUAGCCGAUAGCCAAGGAUUGCGCAUUGUCUACGAGACGAAAGGCCCAGACAACAUAUUCUCACCAGUUUGGAACCAAGAUCCACAAAAGGAUGUACUGUAUGUAUGCAUGGGACCUUCUUUCAACGCCGGCAAAACAUUGGAAAUCUGCGCCAUCCCCAAUGUGUCUAGUGGUGCACGACAACGUCGAAAGCUCACAAAAGGAUUCAAUAAUGCCUUCCCAUCCACCAGUCCAGACGGGACGAAACUAGUUUUUCGAUCUGCAAGAGAUGGAGGCGAUAAGAAAUACAAGAAUCUAUACAUAAUGGAGGAUGCAGAAGUCGGGGAAUAUGGGAAUGGCAAAGUAACAAGGCUAACAAAUGGGCCUUGGACUGACACACAUUGCCAAUGGUCCCCGACGGGAGAUUGGAUAGUAUUCUCAUCAACUCGCGACAAGCCGAAAGAUGCACCAGAAACUGACAAUGGUCUCGAUCCAGGAUACUUUGCAGUGUUUUUAGUGAAGGCAAACGAUCCAUCAGUUGUGGUAAGAGUGAUAAAAAGUGGAGAUGAUCUUGCAGGGCAUGUGAAUCAUCCAUUCUUUAGUCCUGAUGGAAAAAGCAUUGCUGUGGCUUCAGAUCUUGCUGCAGUUUCCGUUGAUCCAAUUUCUUUACCUCUUUUCUUGCAUUCUGUGAGACCUUAUGGAGAUGUCUUCACUGUUGAUAUUGACCCAGAUGACCUAAAUAAGAACAAAGAUGUGAAGAAGUGCCAUCGCAUCACACAUAGUAGAUAUGAGAAUUCCACUCCUAGUUGGACCAUGUUCUCAACUGAUGAUCCGAAUGCAAAAUGGAACCUGCAAUUACAGGAUCAAUAUACGCCGUCAUGCCCUUAUGUAUAUCCUGAUGGAGGUGAAAGUUGGCACAUGACUGGCCACCUUUGCAUCCCAAGAAGAUGUUGUUGAUUGAUUUUUUGUCCAUGUACAUGGCUUGUUUUCAUGCGGUACGUACGCUAUCGUUUCGUCUUCCAAUAAAUGUAAACCCACGGCUACAAAAUUGUAUACUUCCUGUUUUCAAACUUGGUUUCUUGGUUUUAAAAUGAAGUUGAUGAAUUGCUCUUGGAUGUGUGCAUGCAUUGUG